rnacentral:misc_RNA from 1 species
GGCAUUGCAUCGAUGUAUGAUGCCUAAAACAGUUCCUGCCUCGUGGCUUCAUCUGCAUAUUGGUCAUGAGACCAGGCUAAUAUGGAUUGGUUUAUCGCGUUUAUAACACUAUCCGUUAUAUGAUAAAAGGAAUAUGCAGCACUUUGUGGAGAGAGACAGCAUCACACACAGUUAAAAAUAGAAUUAUUGCAUAAUAUAAUGAAAAGAAAUAUUUGAAGAGAAAUCCAUCUGUUUCUGGAUAGAGACAAGCAAUUCGCUUAGAGAGGUAAGGGAGGUAACUCAAGGCAGUUUCACAUCGUGAGUUACUUCCUGAUAUCGGCGUAGCUGAGUCAUGUACUAUUCGCGGUAGCCCAACACAUGUCAAGGAAGAGGACUGUGGCAAAUCGAUGUUACACAUAUAUUCGAUAUACGGACAUUCGUGUGAUGAAUAUUACCGCAAGACUAAAGUCUCAGAUUUCUUUUACAGUUAGGUGAUCGAGUGUGGAUGCGGUGAUCAUAGUCAACUUGCCACCAGGGGUCGCUAGUGUUCCUGGUUGCGCUGCAAUACGACUCGUUCUGGUUAUCGUUCCCGUCCACAGCGAGCCAGCCGGCCCUUGAAAAUGUCGUGUCCUGCACUGAGCUCUGAUGUGUAGCCUGGUUCAAGGCAAUGUUGUGCGCCAUAGCUGAAUUACAAAAUAAAAGACAACAAUAGCAAGUUCGGAAUAUUCAGCCUGUAAACAUCUUAAGUGAUUAUCAUACGUGAGUGAGUUUAGUUGGGAUACGGAGAAAACGGACCACAGUGAAAACGGACUCCCAAAAAAUCGAGAAAACGGCCACCGCGCUGGAGAGAACCGCCACCGUUUAGUUUUACGCUGCACCCAGCAAUAUUCCAGCUCUAUUGCGGAGGUGUGUAAAAUCGACCAGACAAUCUAGUCAUCAACAGCAUGAGCAUCGAUCUGCACAGGGGUACACAAGUGACACUACACAAGGAGCUCACCUUACACUGACACUGGACACAUACAUGCAGUCGACUUCAUCCCCACAUCAAACUGACAUUUGACACAUACCUUC